rnacentral:lncRNA from 1 species
ACCCAGCAGCAAAGCUCGAAACCACAUGAGUUCCGAGCCCGUCCUUCAUUAACCCUUUCUCGAGGAUAGUCUCUUUGAACUGAUCGUACGAUGCUAGCUGCGAUGCGGUAACUAGCAUGGCGCGGUUCACGGUAAGAGAUGAACCGCGCCACAGGCUAGUUACCCCUUCGCUUUUACUCAUCUGAGUAAUUGCAUCGAUCACGCUUUUGUAGUUGCGGCGUUGAGAGAUCGGAAGCCGGCCGUCAGCCUGCAUGCGAACCAUCGCUACGUCGGCGGGAUUACCAACGGCAGCUCCGAUCCCGCCGGCG